ACCCGCUGAACUUAAGCAUAUCAAUAAGCGGAGGAAAAGAAACCAACAGGGAUUGCCUCAGUAACGGCGAGUGAAGCGGCAAAAGCUCAGAUUUGAAAUCUGGCGUCAUUUUGGCGUCCGAGUUGUAAUCUGUAGAGAAGUGUUCAAGUGUGGAUUUGGCUUAAGUUCCUUGGAACAGGGCGUCAUAGAGGGUGAGAACCCCGUUAACGGCCUAUGUCUUAUGCUUAUGUGAACCUUCUUCAACGAGUCGAGUUGUUUGGGAAUGCAGCUCUAAAUUGGUGGUAAAUUCCAUCUAAAGCUAAAUACUGGCAAGAGACCGAUAGCGCACAAGUAGAGUGAUCGAAAGAUGAAAAGAACUCUGAACAGAGAGUUAAAUAGUACGUGAAAUUGUUGAAAGGGAAGCACUUGCUACCAGACACGCCUGUAGUUGAUCAGCCUCCAUUUUUGGUGGUGCACUUAGCUAUAGGUGGGUCAGCAUCAGUUAUAUUGGUGGGAUAAAGACCUUGGGAAUGUAGCUUCUUUCGGGAAGUGUUAUAGCCCGAGGUGUAAUACCAUCUAAUGUGACUGAGGCCCGCGCUUCGGCGAGGAUGCUGGCAUAAUGGUCGU
rnacentral:rRNA from 1 species